rnacentral:rRNA from 1 species
AACGAACGCUGGCGGCAGGCCUAACACAUGCAAGUCGAGCGCCCCGCAAGGGGAGCGGCGGACGGGUGAGUAACGCGUGGGAACGUGCCCUCUUCUACGGAAUAGCCUCGGGAAACUGGGAGUAAUACCGUAUACGCCCUUAGGGGGAAAGAUUUAUCGGAGGAGGAUCGGCCCGCGUUGGAUUAGGUAGUUGGUGGGGUAAUGGCCUACCAAGCCGACGAUCCAUAGCUGGUUUGAGAGGAUGAUCAGCCACACUGGGACUGAGACACGGCCCAGACUCCUACGGGAGGCAGCAGUGGGGAAUCUUAGACAAUGGGCGCAAGCCUGAUCUAGCCAUGCCGCGUGAGCGAUGAAGGCCUUAGGGUUGUAAAGCUCUUUCAGGGGGGAAGAUAAUGACUGUACCCACAGAAGAAGCCCCGGCUAACUCCGUG